AGGAUAAACGCUGGCGGCGUGCCUAACACAUGCAAGUCGAACGCGCUUUUUCGCAAGAGGAGAGCGAGUGGCGGACGGGUGAGUAACACAUGGGUACCUACCUUGGAGUGAGGGAUACCGGCGAGAAAUCGCCGACAAUACCGCAUACGCUUCUCUUCACCGGGAAGCAAAGUUGCGCAAGCGACGCUCUGAGAUGGGCCUGUGGCCGAUUAGCUAGUUGGUGGGGUAACGGCCUACCAAGGCGACGAUCGGUAGCUGGUCUGAGAGGACGAUCAGCCACACUGGGAUUGAGAACGGCCCAGACUCCUACGGGGGCAGCAGUGAGGAAUUUUCGUCAAUGGGGGCAACCCUGAACGAGCAACGCCGCGUGCAGGAAGAAGGUUUUCGGAUCGUAAACUGCUUUUCUCGGGGAAGAGAACGGACGGUACCCGAGGAAUCAGCCCCGGCUAACUACGUGCCAGCAGCCGC
rnacentral:rRNA from 1 species